CACACACGUGGUUGCAGAUGACCCUGUCUUGCCGGAAGUAAGUGAGCUUAUCCUAUUUUUCCCUCACGCACUCAUCAGCUGACCUCCCCCAUCACUCACUGGCCGUGGAACUUGGUGUGUCGCCGUCGUGGUCUAAAACCGGUUGCGUUGAAGGCUAGCUAGCAGUUCUUGGGAAACAUUCUAUUGGUUUUAUUGGUGGCUUGUUGACCUACCUGGACUUCGUACCGUUCCCUAGUCAGAUUCGUGUUUAACUGAGUGUUAGAAAUUGUGCUGCAUUUUCGUCCCUUUGAUGUUUAAUUUCAGCUUUAUGCAAAAUGAAUAAUGGUGAUGCAUUUUGUUGAGUGUAA